rnacentral:rRNA from 1 species
CAGUGGCGAACGGGUGAGUAACACGUGGGCAAUCUGCCCUGCACUCUGGGACAACACCGGGAAACCGGUGCUAAUACCGGAUACGACGUNCCUCCGCAUGGGGUGUGCGUGGAAAGCUCCGGCGGUGCAGGAUGAGCCCGCGGCCUAUCAGCUUGUUGGUGGGGUGAUGGCCUACCAAGGCGACGACGGGUAGCCGGCCUGAGAGGGCGACCGGCCACACUGGGACUGAGACACGGCCCAGACUCCUACGGGAGGCAGCAGUGGGGAAUAUUGCACAAUGGGCGAAAGCCUGAUGCAGCGACGCCGCGUGAGGGAUGACGGCCUUCGGGUUGUAAACCUCUUUCAGCAGGGAAGAAGCGCGAGUGACGGUACCUGCAGAAGAAGCACCGGCUAACUACGUGCCAGCAGCCGCGGUAAUACGUAGGGUGCGAGCGUUGUCCGGAAUUAUUGGGCGUAAAGAGCUCGUAGGCGGCCUGUCGCGUCGGAUGUGAAAGCCCGGGGCUUAACCCCGGGUCUGCAUUCGAUACGGGCAGGCUAGAGUUCGGUAGGGGAGAUCGGAAUUCCU